rnacentral:rRNA from 1 species
GUGGGGAAUCUUGCGCAAUGGGCGAAAGCCUGACGCAGCCAUGCCGCGUGAAUGAUGAAGGUCUUAGGAUUGUAAAAUUCUUUCACCGGGGACGAUAAUGACGGUACCCGGAGAAGAAGCCCCGGCUAACUUCGUGCCAGCAGCCGCGGUAAUACGAAGGGGGCUAGCGUUGCUCGGAAUUACUGGGCGUAAAGGGCGCGUAGGCGGACAGUUUAGUCAGAGGUGAAAGCCCAGGGCUCAACCUUGGAAUUGCCUUUGAUACUGGCUGUCUUGAGUACGGGAGAGGUGAGUGGAACGCCGAGUGUAGAGGUGAAAUUCGUAGAUAUUCGGAAGAACACCAGUGGCGAAGGCGACUCACUGGCCCGUUACUGACGCUGAGGCGCGAAAGCGUGGGGAGCAAACAGGAUUAGAUACCCGAGUAGUCC